UCCAGCGCACUCACCUAUCCACUAAACAGCAACUUCAAUGUUGAAAGAUUUUAUUUGUUUUUUUUUUUGUUUUAAAACACCUAAUCUAGGCGUUAUUUUUGCCUAGAUUAGGUGUUUUUAAAAAAAAUAAAUAAAUAAAAUCUUUCAACAUUGAAGUUGCUGUUUAGUGGAUAGGUGAGUGCGCUGGA